UUUCCGUAGGUGAACCUGCGGAAGGAUCAUUGUCGGAACUUUCUUACACCACCGUGAACUUGUUUCAAUACGUGGGCCGUGUCGCGUGAGCUUGCUCCGCGGCGCUUCUAUCUCGCGUGGGCUGCGAGCUAACGAAAAUCGGCACGGCAUGUGCCAAGGAAAAUCUAAUGGAGCGUUUGCCCCUGUCGCACCAUUUGCGGAGGGCGAGGGGGAACGUGCCUUAAAGUGUAAACGACUCUCGGCAACGGAUAUCUCGGCUCUCGCAACGAUGAAGAACGUAGCGAAAUGCGAUACUUGGUGUGAAUUGCAGAAUCCCGUGAACCAUCGAGUUUUUGAACGCAAGUUGCGCCCAAAGCCUCUUGGUCGAGGGCACGCCUGCCUGGGCGUCACGCAUCUUGUUGCCCCCUUCCUCGGUUGAUGGCCUCCCGUGAGCGGUUGUGCGCGGUUGGUUUAAGUUGUAUAUGUUGCGCCCACUGUGACAACAUGUGUUGGUAGAGACUUGGUCUUGCUCCAUGUGAUGGUGUGCGCUGCGUCCAUGGAUCCCAGGGCGUGGUUGCCCAUGCCUUCGAACGCGACCCCAGGUCAGGUGGGACCACCUGCUGAGUUUAA
rnacentral:rRNA from 1 species